rnacentral:rRNA from 1 species
AUGCUGCUACUUUCUGUAUGGAGCUGGGAGCGUCUGCCUGUUGGACGCCCGAAGAGCGUCAGGUUUAAUCCUUGGUAUGAAGAUGAACAUGACGAAUUACGGCGCCCCACUUGGGCUUACAAGUGGGAUGUGGUUUCCGAGAUGACGAACGAUGUCAAUCUCAUGUACCAGAAGUACAUUGCCGAGUUGGACACGAUUACGCCUGAGCAGGUAACGAGGUCAUUACUUCAGUCAUUUCUCAUGUUUGCCAGAAAAAAAGUCACCAAUUUUGCAUUGUUGCCCUAUUUCAUAGGUGGAAUGGCAGCCAUAUGGCGCGGAUGA